rnacentral:rRNA from 1 species
UCUCGUCAAAGCCCCCGUUGAGGGAGGAAGGCUCUUGGGUUGUAAACCUCUUUUCUCUGGGAAGAACAAAAUCCUUGCAACCAGAGGAAUCAGCAUCGGCUAACUCCGUGCCAGCCGCCUCGGUAAGACGGAGGAUGCAAGCGUUAUCCGGAAUGAUUGGGCGUAAAGCGUCCGCAGGUGGCAAUUCAAGUCUGCUGUUAAAGCGCAGGGCUUAACUCUGUAAAGGCAGUGGAAACUGAAUAGCUAGAGUGUGGUAGGGGUAGAGGGAAUUCCCAGUGUAGCGGUGAAAUGCGUAGAGAUUGGGAAGAACAUCGGUGGCGAAGGCGCUCUACUGGACCAUAACUGACACUCACAGGACGAAAGCUA